rfam:Medicago truncatula strain A17 chromosome 2, whole genome shotgun sequence.
UACCGAAGAUUUCCUCGGUAGUUAACUGCAGCCAGUUUUUAAAUUCCUCGACAGUUAACUACCGAAUGGGAAA